GCAUCGAUGAAGAACGCAGCGAAUUGCGAUACGUAUUGUGAAUUGCAGAUUUUCGUGAAUCAUCGAAUCUUUGAACGCACAUUGCACCCUGUGGUAUUCCACAGGGUAUGCCUGUUUGAGCGUCAUUUCCUUCUCAAGCGUGAGCUUGGUGUUGGCGGAGGCCUUUCGAGGCCCCGCUGAAAUACGCAGGGGGUGCGUGGAAACGAGCUUUCUCUGUUACUAAUGUGUAGGUUCUGCCAACCUACAUUGGAAGAUUGACUGCCCCCUUCACAAUCCCACCCCCCCCACUAACACACAAACAUGACCUCAAAUCAGGUAGGAUACCCGCA
rnacentral:rRNA from 1 species